rnacentral:misc_RNA from 1 species
CACUGAUCGGUUCUUUGCUAACAGUUGUGCGGGACCCAGCGAGUGAUACUCUCUAGACUUAAACUCAGUGUUUCAAGAAUACCCGGAUACCCCAGCAGCGAGAGAUGGCGGACCAGGACAAACCAAAAAAUGACUUAAUACGGAAAUGUGGUCACAUGGUCAUACACCCGGUCGAAAUAAUGGUGGCAGUCCUUCAAGCCACGAACAACCCAGCUCCCCAGAGCCGCAGGAAGUGCAGCAAGUCCCCGCCGAACAGGUGGAGGGCCCCUGCUCACCAUACUCUGACGAUGACGUUCUGAUCGUGGAAGAAGUCCCUUUUACUUUCACUGAAGAACAGCUAAAGGAAGCACUAGACUCGGUAAAGUCCAUCAUUGCACGAGAAGAAGCAGAUUCAACCGGUGAACAGUACUUGAAUGUUGAGGAUAUUGACCAAGAUGAUGAAGAUAAUAUGCCACGUCUGCGGUGGGAGGACGACGAUUAUCUAUCAGGGCCAUCGGCCGCAAAAGUUCGUCGUCUUGAUCUGGCCAGCAUUAAAGUACAAUUGCCGGCCGAUAGAUAUGGGCCCUUGACAUGCUUGGUGGAAUCCGAUCCAAGGUGCGGAGGCACCACAAAACAAUCGCCCCCUAUUGAUGUAGAGGAAAUUAAAACUCCAAACGUAAGCUGCCUCUGGGAUCAACUGCCAAGAAGCGUCACCGAUAACUUCCCAAUACUUGAGCCUGAACGCGCGAGAAUUUUAAGCGCUAAUGCCUCAUUGAUCAGUGAAGCUUUCGCUAGCGCUGCACAACCCGGCCCAUCAACAUCUAGGGACCCAAUAAUUGGGCCUGAGAUCAUCAAUAUUCCCCGAUCAGCACCCAGCACCAGCUCGUGGGCUGAUGACGUGAAUGACCCUCAACCUGGACCAUCAAGUGCUAGCACUGCGUGGUACGAGUCAGAGUACAUUGGACUGAGUCGCCCGGGACCGUCUUACAUUAGCGGUCAAUGGACCCAUCCAACCUUGGCGGAUGAGACUACCAUACCAUAUACUCCCAGCGGCUCCCCAAUUGUAGGCACUACGGGUUCAGCCUUUCCUGAUUACCAAACCACGCGUCGUUCUCGCCCAGCUGGCCAACACACACUCUUAGGGGAGAUAGCCGAGGCAAAUGAAUUGCAUUCUAGGCUACGAUACCUCGAUAGACAAGCUCAAGCCCAAAGUCAACGAGUGGCUCAACUGACGACGCAAGGCGCAUUUGGCUACAAUGUCCGUGACGAUGGCUCGGAAGCUCUGCGCAGGGCUCGUUUCGCCCAGGGAAGAGACGGAGGCACCGGCAUGGAUACUCCGUAUCCACCUAUAUCACCUAAAUUAUUAAGUGAAACUACCUUUUCGGACAUUCCUUCCUUCCCCCAACAGUCCCUUUACUACGACGUGCCUUUUAUCCCCACUGAACCUGAGGAGCAACGACCGUUGGAUCUAACAAAUCCUCAACGGCAGAUCCCGGAGCUUAUUCCCAUUUCGACUCCGCAACGUUCUCCAGUGGGACACUGCUCUCGUCAGUCUCAGUACACUGCGUCUCGCACAACGCCCCGGCCGGCGCAUCGCCCCGCUCUCCUGCCCACUUCGCGCGUCAUGCCGGUCACUGCGCUGAGCGGCAUACCCCGCACUCAUACCGUUACGGCAUCGUCCAACAUUUUCAUUUACACCGAGCCCCCCAGGCGCCUGACUCCACCAGAGACGCGCCAGUGGACUUCAAGCCAGCCACAACAAUAUCAACCUGAAAUCUCAUUAGAACAAUACGCCAGCUGCUCUGAACACCUCUUGGUUCCUCGACAGCCGGAACCGGAGCCGGAACCGGAAUUGGAACCGGAACCGGAACCAGAGCCAGAGCCAGAGCCAGAGCCAGAGCCAGAGCCAGAGCCAGAGCCAGAGCCAGAGCCAGAGCCAGAGCCAGAGCCAGAGCCAGAACCGGAACCCGAACCGGAACCGGAACCGCAAACUCAACCGCAACCGCAACCUAAAUCACAGCCACGUUCUCGAAUAAACCCAAUGUUAGAUCCUCUUCCAGAACAUCUUCUAUACAUAGAAUGGCCUACCCCAGAAGACCAACCGAUUGUCCGGUCACAACCGCGUCAUGUACCUCAGGUAGAACCCUCACUGCACGUUCCUUGGUUCACUCCAACUACUUCUGCUUCUGGGGAAUCAUCGAACUGGAGUGGUGGAGUCCAAUCGGCAAUCAUUACUACGACGGCUCCCUCUGAGCCCGCUCCUUCUCGUCCCGAAGCAUCAGCGAUCUACGACGUCAUUACCAUUUCGCCCGUUCCUUCCCCAUCCAUUAUCGUGACGGUGCCUCCCGACUCUUCGCCUCCUCGGUCCACACCUCCGCCAGAGUUGGGAGCCGUUUGGUUGGCACGCGACAGCCGGCACGUUUCAGCAAGCUACAUCGUGUGCAGCCGCUUUGAAAAUUUGUGCAGUCAGUCAGCCUGCACCAUGAGGAAUGUAAUUCCACGACUUGGUGCAACACUGGGCUGCGCAGGAGUGGCGGCUCUAGCGAGUAGUUUGUUGAAGAAGCACUCGUAUGGCGGGAGCAAAACUAGAGGCGCCCGCAUGUAUAUAUCAACGUUUUUUGUAUGACAAAUCGUCCACAACGAUAUACUGGGUCCUUACAAACUUGGGGAGUCGGCGCAACAAAGGACUGCACAAGAGCGGCGGCUCCAGCGAGUAAGCACUCGUAUGGCGGGAACAAGAACAGAGGCACCAAGCAUAGAUACUUCAAAGUUUUAUUAUGUCAAAUCGUCCACAACGAUAUGCUACGUCCCUACAAACUUGGGGUAACGUUUCACUUUUUUGUUGUUUUUUGUUUCUUUGUUUUACUAGAAUAGUUUUUUAUAUGUACCUCUAAAAGUGUUAAUAUCUUUGUAAAUAAAAUGAGAAACAUGUCAUAUUAUAUGGAACUAUCGUCUAAUAACAGUUAAUAUGUGUGUUUAUUGUGUAGGUGGGUUGGCCUGGCGAAAUUUAUCAGGUAUUUUAACUUAAUCAUACUCCAAUGAUUCUUCAAGCUGACCUGGCCUGGCCACCCGAACGGAUAUUUCAACUAGAUAAUAAGCUACUGGAACAGGAGAGAGAAAGGGAAAGACUGACCGCGAGUUACUUCUUGUGUCACAACUUGCUUUUGCCGCUGAAGCACUCGUGUUACAAUAGCAAAAGCGAGAGGUGCCCAUAAAAACGCUUUAUAAAAUUUAAUGAACUACUGAUUAAUAAUGUACAUAGUUAUUGAGGUUAAUUUGUUUUGUUUACAAACUGACCAUGUCCUGCAGAUGGAGAGCACCGCAUUCUGCAAAUGACACUGUUUAUAAUUUUACUGCUGCUGAAUCAUCUCCAUCGAAAGUUUUAAGAACAACAUUUUCAAAGCUAUUAUAUUCAUAGCACAGAGAAAACUGUUUUUCUCUGUUCUUUGAUUGUGCUAAUGACAGCAUCCAUAAUUAAGAUAGAUUUUUCAGCGAGUAUUCAAAUUGAAUAUAACUAAAAUCAUAAACAGUUUGGUCGAUAGUACAAAUUAGAUAAAUACGCAGAAUUUACUCUAGUAUGUCUAAUGUAGUUUAUUUAUAAUACCUAGGUAUCUGUCUAAAAUAAAUUGUACGGUCUUUUCUGUAGGUGUUUAGAACUCCUGUAAACAUGACCGAAAAGUGUAAGUGUAGGAUAUAAAUUGUUAAAGUAAGUAUGCAUUUUAGAGUCAAUGGGCUAUUUAAAGUUGUAACUAUAAUAAAUGUAAGUUUCAUUUUUAUUCUAGUUUGUAGGUAAGUGGUAGGGAAUAAUUUAGUUUGUAAAUAUAGUACUAGAAGUAAAAUAGGGUUAUUCCCGCUCGGUAACACCCUUUCAUCAACACUGUUGACGAUCGGGAAAAAAAAGUUUCGUUCGUUCACAGUGUUGACGAACGCUACUUAUUAUUUUAGUGUAAAAUGGUUAUUAUGCACAUGAUAAGACCCACUUUUAUUUUCUAGUUAAUUGUGUUUCAAAAGAUCUAACAUAAUCUAUUAAAACAUUUAAAAAAUCCAUGACAAGUCUUUCCAUAUUUUAAAAAUAAAAACCAGCGUUCGUCAACACUGUGAACGAACGAAACUUUUUUUUCCCGAUCGUCAACAGUGUUGACGAAAGGGUGUUACCGAGCGGGAAUAACCCGUAAAAUAG